GCUCUUCGCAGGGAAGAAAACUACUUAAUAAUACUAGUGAGGCUGACGGUACCUUGAUAAGAAGCACGGCUAACUACGUGCCAGCAGCCGCGGUAAUACGUAGGGUGCGAGCGUUAAUCGGAAUUACUGGGCGUAAAGCGUGCGCAGGCGGUUUUGUAAGUCAGAUGUGAAAUCCCCGAGCUCAACUUGGGAACUGCGUUUGAAACUACAAGACUAGAAUAUGUCAGAGGGGGGUAGAAUUCCACGUGUAGCAGUGAAAUGCGUAGAGAUGUGGAGGAAUACCAAUGGCGAAGGCAGCCCCCUGGGAUAAUAUUGACGCUCAUGCACGAAAGCGUGGGGAGCAAACAGGAUUAGAUACCCUGGUAGUCCACGCCCUAAACGAUGUCUACUAGUUGUUGGUGGAGUAAAAUCCAUGAGUAACGCAGCUAACGCGUGAAGUAGACCGCCUGGGGAGUACGGUCGCAAGAUUAAAACUCAAAUGAAUUGACGGGGGCCCGCACAAGCGGUGGAUUAUGUGGAUUAAUUCGAUGCAACGCGAAAAACCUUACCUGGCCUUGACAUGUACCGAAUUUGGGAGAGAUUCCUUAGUGCUCGAAAGAGAGCGGUAACACAGGUGCUGCAUGGCUGUCGUCAGCUCGUGUCGUGAGAUGUUGGGUUAAGUCCCGCAACGAGCGCAACCCUUGCCAAUAAUUGCCAUCAUUUAGUUGGGCACUUUAUUGGGACUGCCGGUGACAAACCGGAGGAAGGUGGGGAUGACGUCAAGUCCUCAUGGCCCUUAUGGCCAGGGCUUCACACGUAAUACAAUGGUCGGUACAGAGGGUUGCCAACCCGCGAGGGGGAGCCAAUCCCAGAAAGCCGAUCGUAGUCCGGAUUGUAGUCUGCAACUCGACUACAUGAAGUCGGAAUCGCUAGUAAUCGCGGAUCAGCAUGUCGCGGUGAAUACGUUCCCGGGCCUUGUACACACCGCCCGUCACACCAUGGGAGUGGGUUUUACCAGAAGUAGGUAGUCUAACCGCAAGGGGGACGCU
rnacentral:rRNA from 1 species